rnacentral:rRNA from 1 species
GACAGAGGUGCCAAGCGUUAGGCGGAAUCACUGGGCUUAAAGCGUGUGUAGGCGGAAUUGUAAGUACCUUGUGAAAUCCCACGGCUCAACCGUGGAACUGCUCGGUAUACUGCUUUUCUUGAGCCACUUAGGGGCUGUCGGAACAAACGGUGGAGCGGUGAAAUGCGUAGAUAUCGGGAGGAACACCCGCGGUGUAGACGGCCUGCUGGACCACGACUGACGCUGAGGCACGAAAGCGUGGGGAGCAAACAGG